rnacentral:rRNA from 1 species
UAGGGGGCAAGCGUUAUCCGGAUUUACUGGGUGUAAAGGGAGCGUAAGCGGCGUGUCAAGUCAGAAGUGAAAGCCCGCAGCUCAACUGCGGGACUGCUUUUGAAACUGACAGGCUAGAGUGUCGGAGAGGUAAGUGGAAUUCCUAGUGUAGCGGUGAAAUGCGUAGAUAUUAGGAGGAACACCAGUGGCGAAGGCGGCUUACUGGACGAUGACUGACGCUGAGGCUCGAAAGCGUGGGGAGCAAA